AGUCGAGCGAAGCUUUUCAGUAGUUUACUACAGAAAAUGACUGAGCGGCGAACGGGUGAGUAACGCGUGAGCAAUCUACCUUAGUUACAGGGAUAGCCCGGGGAAACUCGGAUUAAUACCUGAUAUUCUUUAUUUCUCGCAUGAGAAUAAAAGGAAAGGUCAGCCGAACUAAGAUGAGCUCGCGUUCUAUCAGCUAGUUGGUGAGGUAAAAGCUUACCAAGGCUACGACGGAUAGCUGGCCUGAGAGGACGAUCAGCCACACUGGGACUGAGACACGGCCCAGACUCCUACGGGAGGCUGCAGCAGGGAAUAUUGUGCAAUGAACGAAAGUUUGACACAGCGACACCGCGUGUGGGAUGACGGAUCUAGGUUUGUAAACCACUUUCAGGAGGGAAGAAAAUGACGGUACCUCCACAAGAAGCCCCGGCCAACUACGUGCCAGCAGCCGCGGUAAUACGUAGGGGGCGAGCGUUGUCCGGAUUUAUUGGGCGUAAAGAGCUCGUAGGCGGUUCAACAAGUCGGUCGUGAAAGUUCAGGGCUCAACCCUGAAAUGUCGAUCGAUACUGUUGUGACUAGGAUUCGGUAGAGGUGAGUGGAAUUCCGAGUGUAGCGGUGAAAUGCGUAGAUAUUCGGAGGAACACCAAUUGCGAAGGCAGCUCACUGGGCCGCUAUCGACGCUGAGGAGCGAAAGCUAGGGGAGCAAACAGGAUUAGAUACCCUGGUAGUCCUAGCUGUAAACGAUGGAUACUAGAUGUAGGAACUGGAUUGACGGUUUCUGUACCGCAGCUAACGCGUUAAGUAU
rnacentral:rRNA from 1 species